rnacentral:lncRNA from 1 species
ACUUCGUUAAGUUAACCUAUUGAUGCUAUUUAAAAUAUCAAAAAUAUGAACAAUUUCUAUUGGAUAAAUCCAAUAGAAUUAGAUCAUAAGUAAAGAAGACUAUUGAUUGGAUUAUCGGUCUGACAGGUUAGAUGGGUCAAAUCUAAGCCAUUCGAUCAAAAAAUCAUGAGAUAUAGAUCUGACCAAGGCUAAUAUUGAUUGUUAGGGUUCAUCAAUAACGAAUUUCAA